rnacentral:rRNA from 1 species
UUUUACAAUGGAGAGUUUGAUCCUGGCUCAGGAUGAACGCUAGCUACAGGCUUAACACAUGCAAGUCGAGGGGAAACGAUAUUGGAAGCUUGCUUCCGAUAGGCGUCGACCGGCGCACGGGUGAGUAACGCGUAUCCAACCUGCCCACCACUUGGGGAUAACCUUGCGAAAGUAAGACUAAUACCCAAUGAUAUCUCUAGAAGACAUCUGAAAGAGAUUAAGGAUUUAUCGGUGAUGGAUGGGGAUGCGUCUGAUUAGCUUGUUGGCGGGGUAACGGCCCACCAAGGCGACGAUCAGUAGGGGUUCUGAGAGGAAGGUCCCCCACAUUGGAACUGAGACACGGUCCAAACUCCUACGGGAGGCAGCAGUGAGGAAUAUUGGUCAAUGGACGAGAGUCUGAACCAGCCAAGUAGCGUGCAGGAAGACGGCCCUAUGGGUUGUAAACUGCUUUUAUAAGGGAAUAAAGUGAGAGUCGUGACUCUUUUUGCAUGUACCUUAUGAAUAAGGACCGGCUAAUUCCGUGCCAGCAGCCGCGGUAAUACGGAAGGUCCGGGCGUUAUCCGGAUUUAUUGGGUUUAAAGGGAGCGUAGGCCGGAGAUUAAGCGUGUUGUGAAAUUAAGG